CCUACGGGAGGCAGCAGUGGGGAAUUUUGGACAAUGGGCGCAAGCCUGAUCCAGCCAUUCCGCGUGAGUGAAGAAGGCCUUCGGGUUGUAAAGCUCUUUCGCGAGGGAAGAAAACUUACCAUCGAAUAAAUGGUGAGGCUGACGGUACCUUGAUAAGAAGCACCGGCUAACUACGUGCCAGCAGCCGCGGUAAUACGUAGGGUGCGAGCGUUAAUCGGAAUUACUGGGCGUAAAGCGUGCGCAGGCGGUUUUGUAAGUCAGAUGUGAAAUCCCCGAGCUCAACUUGGGAACUGCGUUUGAAACUACAAGACUAGAAUAUGUCAGAGGGGGGUAGAAUUCCACGUGUAGCAGUGAAAUGCGUAGAGAUGUGGAGGAAUACCAAUGGCGAAGGCAGCCCCCUGGGAUAAUAUUGACGCUCAUGCACGAAAGCGUGGGGAGCAAACAGGAUUAGAUACCCUGGUAGUCCACGCCCUAAACGAUGUCUACUAGUUGUUGGUGGAGUAAAAUCCAUGAGUAACGCAGCUAACGCGUGAAGUAGACCGCCUGGGGAUACGGUCGCAAGAUUAAAACUUAAAGAGUAAUUGGACCCGGCGUGAGAGUACGACGACGACGACGACGGAGGGAGGAGG
rnacentral:rRNA from 1 species